GUGAGGAAUAUUGGUCAAUGGGCGGGAGCCUGAACCAGCCAAGUCGCGUGAAGGAAGAAGGAUCUAUGGUUCGUAAACUUCUUUUGCAGGGGAAUAAAGUGCAGGACGUGUCCUGUUUUGUAUGUACCCUGAGAAUAAGGAUCGGCUAACUCCGUGCCAGCAGCCGCGGUAAUACGGAGGAUCCGAGCGUUAUCCGGAUUUAUUGGGUUUAAAGGGUGCGUAGGUGGUUUGAUAAGUCAGCGGUGAAAGUUUGCAGCUUAACUGUAAAAAUGCCGUUGAAACUGUCGGACUUGAGUGUAAAUUAGGUAGGCGGAAUGCGUGGUGUAGCGGUGAAAUGCAUAGAUAUCACGCAGAACUCCGAUUGCGAAGGCAGCUUACUAAGCUACAACUGACACUGAAGCACGAAAGCGUGGGGAGCGAACAGGAUUAGAUACCCCUGUAGUCC
rnacentral:rRNA from 1 species